rnacentral:rRNA from 1 species
UUAAGCGACUAAGCGUACACGGUGGAUGCCCUGGCAGUCAGAGGCGAUGAAGGACGUGCUAAUCUGCGAUAAGCGUCGGUAAGGUGAUAUGAACCGUUAUAACCGGCGAUUUCCGAAUGGGGAAACCCAGUGUGAUUCGUCACACUAUCAUUAACUGAAUCCAUAGGUUAAUGAGGCGAACCGGGGGAACUGAAACAUCUAAGUACCCCGAGGAAAAGAAAUCAACCGAGAUUCCCCCAGUAGCGGCGAGCGAACGGGGAGCAGCCCAGAGCCUGAAUCAGUGUGUGUGUUAGUGGAAGCGUCUGGAAAGGCGUGCGAUACAGGGUGACAGCCCCGUACACAAAAAUGCACAUAUUGUGAGCUCGAUGAGUAGGGCGGGACACGUGGUAUCCUGUCUGAAUAUGGGGGACCAUCCUCCAAGGCUAAAUACUCCUGACUGACCGAUAGUGAACCAGUACCGUGAGGGAAAGGCGAAAAGAACCCCGGCGAGGGGAGUGAAAAAGAACCUGAAACCGUGUACGUACAAGCAGUGGGAGCACGCUUAGGCGUGUGACUGCGUACCUUUUGUAUAAUGGGUCAGCGACUUAUAUUCUGUAGCAAGGUUAACCGAAUAGGGGAGCCGAAGGGAAACCGAGUCUUAACUGGGCGUUAAGUUGCAGGGUAUAGACCCGAAACCCGGUGAUCUAGCCAUGGGCAGGUUGAAGGUUGGGUAACACUAACUGGAGGACCGAACCGACUAAUGUUGAAAAAUUAGCGGAUGACUUGUGGCUGGGGGUGAAAGGCCAAUCAAACCGGGAGAUAGCUGGUUCUCCCCGAAAGCUAUUUAGGUAGCGCCUCGUGAAUUCAUCUCCGGGGGUAGAGCACUGUUUCGGCAAGGGGGUCAUCCCGACUUACCAACCCGAUGCAAACUGCGAAUACCGGAGAAUGUUAUCACGGGAGACACACGGCGGGUGCUAACGUCCGUCGUGAAGAGGGAAACAACCCAGACCGCCAGCUAAGGUCCCAAAGUCAUGGUUAAGUGGGAAACGAUGUGGGAAGGCCCAGACAGCCAGGAUGUUGGCUUAGAAGCAGCCAUCAUUUAAAGAAAGCGUAAUAGCUCACUGGUCGAGUCGGCCUGCGCGGAAGAUGUAACGGGGCUAAACCAUGCACCGAAGCUGCGGCAGCGACACUAUGUGUUGUUGGGUAGGGGAGCGUUCUGUAAGCCUGUGAAGGUGUACUGUGAGGUAUGCUGGAGGUAUCAGAAGUGCGAAUGCUGACAUAAGUAACGAUAAAGCGGGUGAAAAGCCCGCUCGCCGGAAGACCAAGGGUUCCUGUCCAACGUUAAUCGGGCAGGGUGAGUCGACUCCUAAGGCGAGGCCGAAAGGCGUAGUCGAUGGGAAACAGGUUAAUAUUCCUGUACUUGGUGUUACUGCGAAGGGGGGACGGAGAAGGCUAUGUUGGCCGGGCGACGGUUGUCCCGGUUUAAGCGUGUAGGCUGGUUUUCCAGGCAAAUCCGGAAAACUAAGGCUGAGGCGUGAUGACGAGGCACUACGGUGCUGAAGCAACAAAUGCCCUGCUUCCAGGAAAAGCCUCUAAGCAUCAGGUAACAUCAAAUCGUACCCCAAACCGACACAGGUGGUCAGGUAGAGAAUACCAAGGCGCUUGAGAGAACUCGGGUGAAGGAACUAGGCAAAAUGGUGCCGUAACUUCGGGAGAAGGCACGCUGAUAUGUAGGUGAAGUCCCUCGCGGAUGGAGCUGAAAUCAGUCGAAGAUACCAGCUGGCUGCAACUGUUUAUUAAAAACACAGCACUGUGCAAACACGAAAGUGGACGUAUACGGUGUGACGCCUGCCCGGUGCCGGAAGGUUAAUUGAUGGGGUCAGCGCAAGCGAAGCUCUUGAUCGAAGCCCCGGUAAACGGCGGCCGUAACUAUAACGGUCCUAAGGUAGCGAAAUUCCUUGUCGGGUAAGUUCCGACCUGCACGAAUGGCGUAAUGAUGGCCAGGCUGUCUCCACCCGAGACUCAGUGAAAUUGAACUCGCUGUGAAGAUGCAGUGUACCCGCGGCAAGACGGAAAGACCCCGUGAACCUUUACUAUAGCUUGACACUGAACAUUGAGCCUUGAUGUGUAGGAUAGGUGGGAGGCUUUGAAGUGUGGACGCCAGUCUGCAUGGAGCCGACCUUGAAAUACCACCCUUUAAUGUUUGAUGUUCUAACGUUGACCCGUAAUCCGGGUUGCGGACAGUGUCUGGUGGGUAGUUUGACUGGGGCGGUCUCCUCCUAAAGAGUAACGGAGGAGCACGAAGGUUGGCUAAUCCUGGUCGGACAUCAGGAGGUUAGUGCAAUGGCAUAAGCCAGCUUGACUGCGAGCGUGACGGCGCGAGCAGGUGCGAAAGCAGGUCAUAGUGAUCCGGUGGUUCUGAAUGGAAGGGCCAUCGCUCAACGGAUAAAAGGUACUCCGGGGAUAACAGGCUGAUACCGCCCAAGAGUUCAUAUCGACGGCGGUGUUUGGCACCUCGAUGUCGGCUCAUCACAUCCUGGGGCUGAAGUAGGUCCCAAGGGUAUGGCUGUUCGCCAUUUAAAGUGGUACGCGAGCUGGGUUUAGAACGUCGUGAGACAGUUCGGUCCCUAUCUGCCGUGGGCGCUGGAGAACUGAGGGGGGCUGCUCCUAGUACGAGAGGACCGGAGUGGACGCAUCACUGGUGUUCGGGUUGUCAUGCCAAUGGCACUGCCCGGUAGCUAAAUGCGGAAGAGAUAAGUGCUGAAAGCAUCUAAGCACGAAACUUGCCCCGAGAUGAGUUCUCCCUGACUCCUUGAGAGUCCUGAAGGAACGUUGAAGACGACGACGUUGAUAGGCCGGGUGUGUAAGCGCAGCGAUGCGUUGAGCUAACCGGUACUAAUGAACCGUGAGGCUUAACCUU